UCCCUGCCCUUUGUACACACCGCCCGUCGCUACUACCGAUUGAAUGGCUUAGUGAGGCCUUCGGAUUGGCUUUUGGGAGCCGGCAACGGCACCUAAUUGCUGAGAAGUUGUACAAACUUGGUCAUUUAGAGG
rnacentral:rRNA from 1 species